rnacentral:misc_RNA from 1 species
GAUGAAGAACGUAGCGAAAUGCGAUAAGUAAUGUGAAUUGCAGAAUUCAGUGAAUCAUCGAAUCUUUGAACGCACAUUGCGCCCUCUGGUAUUCCGGGGGGCAUGCCUGUUCGAGCGUCAUUAUAACCACUCAAGCUCUCGCUUGGUAUUGGGGUUCGCGGUUCCGCGGCCCCUAAAAUCAGUGGCGGUGCCUGUCGGCUCUACGCGUAGUAAUACUCCUCGCGAUUGAGGCCGUAGGUCUACUUGCCAGCAACCCCCAAUUUUUACAGGUUGACCUCGGAUCAGGUAGGGAUACCCGCUGAACUUAAGCAUAUCAAUAAGCGGAGGA